rnacentral:rRNA from 1 species
CUUGACAUCCUCUGAAAACCCUAGAGAUAGGGCUUCUCCUUCGGGAGCAGAGUGACAGGUGGUGCAUGGUUGUCGUCAGCUCGUGUCGUGAGAUGUUGGGUUAAGUCCCGCAACGAGCGCAACCCUUGAUCUUAGUUGCCAUCAUUAAGUUGGGCACUCUAAGGUGACUGCCGGUGACAAACCGGAGGAAGGUGGGGAUGACGUCAAAUCAUCAUGCCCCUUAUGACCUGGGCUACACACGUGCUACAAUGGACGGUACAAAGAGCUGCAAGACCGCGAGGUGGAGCUAAUCUCAUAAAACCGUUCUCAGUUCGGAUUGUAGGCUGCAACUCGCCUACAUGAAGCUGGAAUCGCUAGUAAUCGCGGAUCAGCAUGCCGCGGUGAAUACGUUCCCGGGCCUUGUACACACCGCCCGUCACACCACGAGAGUUUGUAACACCCGAAGUCGGUGGGGUAACCUUUUUGGAGCCAGCCGCCUAAGGUGGGACAGAUGAUUGGGGUGAAGUCGUAACAAGGUAAGCGUACGUGU